rnacentral:rRNA from 1 species
GACAGAGGGUGCAAACGUUGUUCGGAAUUACUGGGCGUAAAGCGUGUGUAGGCGGCCACGUAAGUCGGAUGUGAAAGCCCCAGGCUCAACCUGGGAAGUGCACUCGAUACUGCGUGGCUUGAGUAUCGGAGAGGUUGGUGGAAUUCUCGGUGUAGAGGUGAAAUUCGUAGAUAUCGAGAGGAACACCGGUGGCGAAGGCGGCCAACUGGACGAAUACUGACGCUGAGACACGAAAGCGUGGGGGAGCAAAACAGG